CACGUGGAAAAAGUAGAAGAAAAGAAAAGGAUGUCCUAAUUUAGGGGGAUCAUCUUCUUUUCCCCUAGGAUAUGGAGCAUAGACGUUCAUGCCAGAAAAGAAAAAAAGGGAGUCGCCUGGUACAAUUUGAGACCCAAUUUUGGAGAGCUUAAACGUGAAGGAGAAGGAGGAAAGCAAAGGAAAAAAGCUAGACGUGCGACACAACCACUUAGAGACAUCUCCUUGGCUUGACACUCUUACUUCUUCUCUUAGUUUUUCUUUAAUUUUUCCUCUAAAUUUCUGAAUAUGGAUGGUUAUUAUUUAGGUCGGUACGUUGAAUCGUGAGUUAAAUGCUAAAAGAAGAGGAAACGGUGGAAAAAUUGAGCUUUUGGUGAUUGUUUGAGUCAAAUUGGUCGCGACUCUAGCAAAGUCAGAGGCUGAAGGUUUGCUGAAAGGAAUUAGAGUCGCGACUUGGUCAAUAGAGUCGCGGCGCUAGAAGAAUCAAAGGCAAAAUCCAGGAGGUCCAUGGAGAGGCGGGCCGCGACUUGGGUUUAGAGGGUCGCGGUGCUUGGAGGGCAAACCAGAUUUUGAUGAGCUUUAAAAAGACACGGGCUGCGACUUAGGAAAGGCCAAGUCGCGGCCCGUCUAUGAAAAAAAGAAGAAAUCGUAUUUUUUUUAGUAUAAAUUCAUAUUUUAGGGUUUAAUUAGGUUAAGGUGAGAUUUUAAUUACGAGUUUAGAGAAUAAAUUUGAUUCUAAGAUUAGUUUUUCUGCACUUUCAUAUUUUUUAUUUCUUCUUCAAGUCUUUGAAUUUUAUGUUUAUGAAUAAUUAUUUUGUUUUUUUAGUCAUGUCUAAUAUGAACUAAACACUUCUAUCUAGAGUUUAAUGUAGUCACUUGGAAUUCUAUUUAAUCUUAUUAUGAUGUUCUAUUGAUUCUUCUUCUUUA